CCUACGGGAGGCAGCAGUAGGGAAUAUUGGUCAAUGGACGAAAGUCUGAACCAGCCAUGCCGCGUGCAGGAUGACGGCCCUAUGGGUUGUAAACUGCUUUUGUACGGGAAGAAACCCCUUUACGUGUAGAGGGCUGACGGUACCGUAAGAAUAAGGAUCGGCUAACUCCGUGCCAGCAGCCGCGGUAAUACGGAGGAUCCAAGCGUUGUCCGGAUUUAUUGGGUUUAAAGGGUGCGUAGGCGGAUUACUAAGUCAGAGGUGAAAGUUUGCAGCUUAACUGUAAAAUUGCCUUUGAAACUGGUAAUCUUGAGUAUAGUUGAGGUGGGCGGAAUGUGUCAUGUAGCGGUGAAAUGCUUAGAUAUGAUACAGAACACCGAUUGCGAAGGCAGCUCACUAAACUAAAACUGACGCUGAGGCACGAAAGCGUGGGGAGCAAACAG
rnacentral:rRNA from 1 species